CCUACGGGAGGCAGCAGUGGGGAAUAUUGGACAAUGGGGGCAACCCUGAUCCAGCCAUGCCGCGUGUGUGAAGAAGGCCCUCGGGUUGUAAAGCACUUUCAGUGAGGAAGAACGCCUGGUGGUUAAUACCCAUCAGGAAUGACAUCACUCACAGAAGAAGCACCGGCUAACUCCGUGCCAGCAGCCGCGGUAAUACGGAGGGUGCGAGCGUUAAUCGGAAUUACUGGGCGUAAAGCGCGCGUAGGUGGCUUGAUAAGCCGGUUGUGAAAGCCCCGGGCUCAACCUGGGAACGGCAUCCGGAACUGUCAAGCUAGAGUGCAGGAGAGGAAGGUAGAAUUCCCGGUGUAGCGGUGAAAUGCGUAGAGAUCGGGAGGAAUACCAGUGGCGAAGGCGGCCUUCUGGACUGAAACUGACACUGAGGUGCGAAAGCGUGGGUAGCAAACAGGAUUAGAUACCCGGGUAGUC
rnacentral:rRNA from 1 species